GCCUUAGCUGCCAGCCCUGUGGAUCUGGCCUGGGAGAAGCCCCAUGAGCUGGAUGUGGCCUGGUGCUUAGGGAUCCUCAUUGCCUGGCAGCCGGCCAUCUCUCUGAGGUGUCCACUCAGUUCCUUUGGCUGCCCCCAUAGCAAGUGUGGAAAAGAAAUGGAACAAGUGAAAAACAUCAGCUGGCGGCUGGCUGAAGAAUGCAGACAGGUAAAAGACCAAACAAAAAGAAUCCAUCCCAGAACAGCAAGAGAACAACAUCAAUCAACCUUCAAGGAAGAACACAGUGACAACACAGCAAAAGCCCAGAGACUGGGUGAAUUGU